ACAAGCUAGUAAGGGUCCGAGGUGGAUGCCUAGGCACCAAGAGCCGAAGAAAGACGCGGCUACCUGCGAUAAGCGUCGGGGAGUUGGAAGCGAACGAUGAUCCGGCGAUUUCUGAAUGGAGCAAUCCGCUCGAGGUAAUGCUCGAGCACCCCUGGUUGAACACAUAGACCAGGCGGAGGCAACCCGGGGAACUGAAACAUCUUAGUACCCGGAGGAAGAGAUAUUCCCUUAGUAGAGGCGAUCGAAAAGGGAGCAGCCUAAACCGUAUGCAUGCCAAGGCGGCGGCCGUUGUGCACGCGGUGUUGUGGGAUCGUUUAUCGAGCUCUGCCGAGCUCGAUCGGAGUCAAAAAGCCGGCAGUUAGCCGAAGUAGGUGGAAACCUGCGCUACAUAAGGUGACAGCCCUGUAGGCGAAAGCUGACUGGCCUCCGUAACGACACCCGAGUACCCCGGGACACGCGGAAUCAUGGGGGAAUCCGCACAGACCACUGUGUAAGGCUAAAUACUCUUGGUGACCGAUAGUGAAGAGUACCGUGAGGGAAAGGUGAAAAGCACCCCGGGAGGGGAGUGAAAUAGAAUCCUGAAACCUUGGACCUACAAACUGUCAAAGGCCUAGGUGCGUGACCUUCGGGGAGCGCACAGGCUGAUGGCGUGCCUUUUGUAGAAUGAGCCGGCGAGUUACUGUCUGUGGCGAGGCUAAGGGGGUUACACCCGGAGCCGUAGCGAAAGCGAGUCCGAAUAGGGCGCGACCCCGCAAGGGGCUGUAGUCGUAGGCAGUAGACCCGAAACUUGGUGACCUACCCAUGGUCAGGAUGAAGCGGAGGUAAAACUCCGUGGAGGUCCGAACUGACUUAGGUUGCAAACUGAGCGGAUGAACUGUGGGUAGAGGUGAAAUGCCAAUCGAACCAAGAGAUAGCUGGUUCUCCUCGAAAUGCCUUUAGGGGCAGCGUUGUUGUGGGCUGUCGCAGGUAGAGCACUGAAUGGGCUAGGGGCGGUUCCCCCGUUACCAAACCCAACCAAACUCCGAAUGGCGGCAGGUUAUACAGCAGCAGUGAGACCGUGGGGGCUAAGCUUCACGGUCGAAAGGGAAACAACCCAGACCAUCAGCUAAGGUCCCUAAGUGAAGACUAAGUGGCGAAGGAGGUCGCUUCGCACAAACAACCAGGAGGUUGGCUUAGAAGCAGCCACCCUUUAAAGAGUGCGUAACAGCUCACUGGUCGAGUGAAGUGGCGCCGAAAAUGAUCGGGUCUCAAGUCUUCCACCGAAGCUAUGGAGUUGCAGCGCAAGCUGCGAUUGGUAGAGGAGCGUCGCGUACGCAGUGAAGCAUGAACGUAAGUCCGUGUGGAGCGUCCGCGAGUGCGAAUGCCGGCACAAGUAGCGUAAAGGUCGGUGAGAAACCGGCCCGCCGUAAAUCUUAGGUUUCCUGGGCUACGUUAAUCGUCCCAGGGUCAGUCGGGCCUAAGCCGAGGCCGAAGGGCGUAGGCGAUGGACAACUGGUUCAUAUUCCAGUACCACCUCGCGUUCGUUAUACCGAUGGGAGGACGAAGGAGGGUAGGCCAACCGGACGAUUGGAUGUGUCCGGCCAAAGCUGUAGGGAGUCCUGAUUGUCAAAUGCGUUGGGACGCUAAUCCUGAGAGCUGAUGGGGAGCUUCCAGCAAUGGAGGCGUAGUGGCUGAUCCCAAGCUUCCGAGAAAAUUCUCUAGGAAGAAUGCAGGUGACCGUACCGCAAACCGACGCUGGUAGAUGGGAAGAGGAUUCCAAGGCGAUCGAGAGAAAUCUGUCUAAGGAACUCGGCAAAAUAACCCCGUAACUUCGGGAGAAGGGGUGCCUUUGGCGGUGUAGGAGUUUACCUCCGAAGCCGUUGAGGGUUGCAAUUAAGAGGCCCAACCGACUGUUUACUAAAAACACAGGUCUCUGCGAACCCGUAAGGGGACGUAUAGGGGCUGACGCCUGCCCGGUGCCGGAAGGUUAAGGGGAGAGCUGCAAGGCUUGAUCUGAAGCCCCGGUAAACGGCGGCCGUAACUAUAACGGUCCUAAGGUAGGAGCAAGCUGCCUCCCGCGACGGUAACGACGCGGUAAUACAUUCGGCCAUAUGCUGGAAAACCUGGUGAAUCUGGCGGUACCGCACGGAGUGUGUGGUGACAAUCCGACCAGUGCAGAAAAUCAGCAGGAAAGGCUCAUCACGCGGAUGAGAAUCCUCAGCGACCAUACGCCGAACAUCCCGGUCCUCGGGAUGAAGAGAUGGUCCCAGCUGCAUGGCGACAUGCAGGGACGGCGUAAUUAAGGAAAAACCGUCCGCUUGCUCAGCGCGAGCAGGAAAGAUUUAGAGCGAAAUUCCUUGUCGGGCAAGUUCCGACCCGCACGAAUGGCGUAACGAGUUGGGCGCUGUCUCGGACAGAUACUCGGCGAAACUGCAAUACCUGUGAAGAUACAGGUUACCCGCGGCAGGACGGAAAGACCCCGUGGAGCUUUACUACAUCUUGGCAUUGGACUGGGGUUUAGCGUGUAGAGGAUAGCUGGGAGACUAUGAAGCUCGGGCGUUAGCUCGGGUGGAGUCGCCAGUGGAAUACCAGCCUCGCUGAACUUUAUUUCUAACGGGGCCCCUGAUCGGGGUUCCGGACAGUGCCUGGUGGGUAGUUUGACUGGGGCGGUCGCCUCCCAAAAAGUAACGGAGGCGCCCAAAGGUUCCCUCAGCCUGGNNGGGCAUAGUGAUCCGACGGCUCGGUGUGGAAUGGCCGUCGCUCAACGGAUAAAAGUUACCCCGGGGAUAACAGGCUUAUCGGGCCCAAGAGUUCACAUCGACGGCCCGGUUUGGCACCUCAAUUUGGGGUGAGACGGCGGAGACGCCGUCAAGGUAAUCGGCUUAUAACGGUGAACCCCUCACCCUCGCCGGCGUGGCGUGGGCGGGCAAUACCGUGGGAAGUCUGUCGGAAGCGCGACCAACGAAUGAAAUCGCUUCCGCAAGUGACCCCGUAACGACUGUGGCUUACGCCAC
rnacentral:rRNA from 1 species